GUCGCCCAUGAGGUCAGAGGAAAUGUCUCCAAGAAUUAAAUUAAGGAUCCUCAUACAUUUCCUAAUGGUCUUCCCUGCAUGCAUUUCGUCACAGACCUUAACUGAGUCUGGUGGUGGCAUCAAGAGGCCAGGAGAGAACCUACGACUGACCUGUACGGUGUCAUUUGAUUUAACAAGCUAUGAAGUGAGCUGGGUUCGUCAGCCACCCGGAAAGGGACUGGAGUGGAUGGGAAUUAUCUGGACUGGUGGAAGCACUAGCUAUAACAGUGCUCUCCAAAGUCGGAUCAGCAUCACGAGGGACACCUCCCAAAGACAAGUUUUCCUGCAGCUGAGCAGCCUGAAAGCUGAAGACGCCUCCAUGUAUUACUGUGCGAGACGGCACAGAGAGAUAAAUCUUGCCAGGGACAGAUCAAAAACUCCCCUUCUAGAAGACCAGAUAUCCUUUGCAUCUGGGCCAUGUAUUCGCCAGCUGUAA